UGUCGUUAAUAGCGGCAUUUCUUGACGUUAGCUGCAGAAGAAGCACCGGCUAACUCCGUGCCAGCAGCCGCGGUAAUACGGAGGGUGCGAGCGUUAAUCGGAAUUACUGGGCGUAAAGCGCAUGCAGGUGGUUUGUUAAGUCAGAUGUGAAAGCCCCGGGGCUCAACCUCGGAACUGCAUUUGAAACUGGCAAACUAGAGUACUGUAGAGGGGGUAGAAUUUCAGGUGUAGCGGUGAAAUGCGUAGAGAUCUGAAGGAAUACCAGUGGCGAAGGCGGCCCCCUGGACAGAUACUGACACUCAGAUGCGAAAGCGUGGGGAGCAAACAGGAUUAGAUACCCUGGUAG
rnacentral:rRNA from 1 species